GGCAUGGUGGCUUAGUGGUUAGUGCUUGCAUUACACAUCUAGGGUUGGGGGUUCGAUUCCCACCUCUGCCC